UCAGUCAAGCAGAGUCCACUGGCGAAAGUAGUGGGGCUGCCCAGGAGAAAGAUGGCCGCUACCAGCGAGGAACCGAGUGUUAUGGAGCCUUCUCAGACGAAUUCCGGGCAAAGUCAGCCCGUUGAUCCACUAAAGAUGCUUUAUCCGAUGGUAAACGAAGAGGAAACACCGCUGCCACGUUCGUGGAGCCCCAAGGACAAGUACAAUUACAUCGGCCUCUCCCAAAACAAUCUUCGUGUUCACUACAAAGGUUAUGGAAAAACUCACAAGGAUGCCGCAAGUGUACGUACAACGCACUGCAUACCAGCAGCUUGUGGUCUCUAUUAUUUUGAGGUGAAGAUCGUUAGUAAAGGCAGAGAUGGUUACAUGGGAAUCGGUUUGUCUGCCCAUGGAGUGAACGUGAAUAGGUUGCCAGGUUGGGACAAACACUCCUACGGGUAUCAUGGUGACGAUGGGCACAGUUUCUGUUCUUCUGGAACAGGACAACCUUACGGGCCCACCUUCACCACAGGAGAUGUAAUCGGAUGUGGUGUAAAUCUUGUUGACAACACUGCCUUCUAUACGAAGAAUGGACACCAUCUUGGUAUCGCCUUCACUGAUCUUCCGCCAAAUUUAUAUCCAACGGUGGGCCUUCAAACUCCAGGAGAGGUAGUCGAUGCAAACUUCGGACAAGAACCGUUUGUAUUUGACAUCGAUGAUAUGCUUAACGAACUCCGCGUCAAAACAAGAUUGCAAAUUAUAAACUACCCCACACCAGAUCACGGACAGGGUCAAUGGCAAGCAGUCCUCCACAAAAUGGUGUCAACAUAUUUGGUCCAUCAUGGUUACUGUGCCACUGCCGAAGCCUUUGCCAAUAGUACUGGCCAGGGAUUCGAAGAAGAUCUUAAUUCCAUUAAAAAUAGACAAAAAAUUCUAAAGCUGGUAUUAGCGGGCAGAAUGGGAGAAGCAAUAGAAUUAACCAGUCGGUUGUAUCCGGGUCUCCUCGAACGGGAUCCGAAUCUUCUUUUCGCCCUCAAAUGUCGGCAGUUCGUUGAAAUGGUGAACGGCAGUGACUCGGAAAUCACACAGAAUUCCAAUAUCAAUCAAACUAGUGUUAUACAGUCUACGAAGGCUUACACAAAACCCUCAACAAAUGGCAAUGUUGAGGAGAUGAAUAUGAACAAUGCCAUGAAUGGUUCGACCGAACAACAGCUUGUUAAUGGACAAAUUGAAAACGAUGUAGAUAUGGAGGAGAAUGUUAUAAACGGCAUGAAAAGUAAUACCGAAAACGGCUAUCAAAAUGGUGAUUUGAAUACCAACAGGUAUAAGUGUCAGAACGGGGAAGACGUUGAUAUGGAGACCAAUAGUGUUAAUCAAAUUCAGCAACAACAAAACGGUAAUUGCAAUAUGGAAAAUACAUCGAAUAAGAAUAACAAGAAACAGCUUUGUGGCGGGGAUAAACAGGCGAUCGAAAAGAUGUUAGAAUUCGGAAGACAGUUAUAUUCCCAAUCGAUACAUUUGCGACAACAGCACGGAAAAAACGAAAGCAAUAAAAAGAUGCUCCAAGAUGCGUUCAGUCUUUUAGCCUAUGCAAAUCCAUGGAACUCGCCGGUUGGUUGGCAACUCGAUCCCCAACAGAGGGAAACCGUCUGCGCGAGACUCAAUUCUGCCAUACUCGAGUCGAGUAACUUGCCACGACGGCCGCCGUUGGAAGUGGCCGCGUCUCACGCGAGAGAAUUGGUACGGCUAAUGUCACACGCUGGUCUUGGGGCAUGCGGCUUCGCGGUCGUAGACAAUAUCAUUCAAUAUUGACGGUGCCUACCUCUGCUGCCACGUCUGCUUCUUCUGCCGGCUCGAGUUUGGAGGUUUUAAAAUACAACAACGUCUCAUUGAAUCACUCUUUAACACCCAUACAGGAAUCGUUUUGUUUUCUCAUGCGUUAAGAAAGACGAAAUUAUAUAUAUUUUCUCUUGUUUUUCUCACUUGGUUUCAUAAAUGGUGCUGUAAUUAGAGAUUAAGAUAAUACAGGAUAUGGAGACGGAACGUGGAGCAGAUAAUAUUUUUGCAGCAACAACUUCGCGACAUCGCGUGCCUCUUCAGCUAGAGUCCGGCAGUUGGCUCUCUGGUUCGAUCUCACACAGCUACACCUGACAUACAAUCGUCUAACAUAAUAUACACGCUCGAGACCCACCAAAAGUAAACAAUGUUACACGGCAACGUGGAUGAGAAGGAAGAUGAUUGCUAAAUGAUCAUUAUUCGAAGAACGAUGAACAUUGAUUGAAGUUUUCCAGAGUCCAAACAAGAAAACUGCUUUAACAAAGUGAAGCACGAUAAAGAAGAAGAAAAAGGAGAAGAAGAAGGGAAACGAUCUUAACGAUCACGAACGGACGUGUAGAGAGGAAAUAGUUAGAAUUAACAGUCAAACUUAAGGCAAACGAAGUUCCGAGGACGUAGAUGGCGUUGGUGAUAUAAGAAACACAAGGGAACAUAAAUACGAUAUUGAGGCUGGAAAUGAGUUAGUUUUCGCUGUAAUAAAGUGAUUUUGGACAUGAAAGAGAUUGAUGAUCGAAGACGGUGAACAAGCUUGAGGCGGAGGAUGACGUGUAAACAUCUGCCAAGACGACCCUUUUCUCGUUUCCUCUUUCUAGCCCUGUAACUUACCAUGAUCUUGAGAUUGUUCCCUCGUUCCCAUAAUAGAUCGAGCCGUUUUCCGCAAUGGGACGUGCUUUCGUAUUUUCGUGUAAUUUAUCAUGAACAGACGAUGAAUAACUCUCUUCAGGUGGGUUUCUAACAUCAUUCAUCUGGCCUUCCUUUCAAUUAACAUUUUCCUCUAAGUUUCUUGUUUAACCUCACAUUCGCUGCUUGUAUUCUACGUGAUAAAAUUUCAAUUCAUAUUUCACGAAAUUUGCAGCUCAUUCUCUGCUGUUUCGAUCUCGUCAAUUAUAGAUGUUUGGCUAAAAGUAGCUAGCGACUGAAAUUUUGGUUCCAUUCAAUGUUCAGAAUUAUUGUAGCACUUUUAAACGAAUUUUAUUUUAUCCAAUUUUUUAGUGCACUGCCUCGUUGUAUAUUCUGUUGACCUUUUUUUACGUUUGCUUCUUUUUGCGAUUAAAAUCUUUGACACACGAUUCGUCGCAUGAUAGCUGACAAUCGGUCAGCAUCAUCUUUUUAUUGAGAAAAUGAACGAGAAAAGAGUCUCGUCGAUACAACUUACGAUUAAUUAAUCCCUCGUCGAUUAUUUUGAUAGCCUUUCUAAUCGUAUGGUCAACGAGUCGAUUUUUGUAUCAAUUGUUAGCUCUUAGUGAAACAAAAAAAAAAAAAAAGGAAAACAUAAAACUCAAAAGGAUAAUAUAUAAAUAAAAAGGAAUAUUCUCCUCUUAUAAUUAAUGUAAAUUAAGGUUAGCAGUAACGUGAGAAUCGACGAUCGUUCUAUUUCCACCUGAUUUCCAUAGCAAACGAAGGAAUUAAAGGAAGGACAAAGCAAUAAUCCUUGACUUUUAGCUAUUUUCUUUCCUCUAUUUUUUGGUAUUCGUUUCCCUUUUUUCUUUUUUUUUUUCUUUUUGUAGGUCGUCUUGUAAAUUUUUAUUAUUGCCUAAUGUUAGAAAAUCGAUUUAAUGACCGUUAAGUAUCUUCGUUUCAAUUUUAUUCGCCCUAGGUUCGACCGAAUAAACGAAAGAAAAUGAACAAGAAAAAACAUAAAUCGUGUAUUAGUGAUAUGUAAUUAAGGAAUACAUUAUGCGAUUACGAGAGAAAAUUUGUAAGGAAGGAAACCAAAGAAAACAAAUAGACAAAAAAUAUGAUAAAGAGCGUGUCGAACUUGAGCGACGAAAUCAACUAAAAAAACAAAUGGGGAAUUAUACGAACCUGAAUGAUUGUAAGUGGUCGAAGAUUAUUGGAGUUAUAUAGCGAAAAUUAAUAAAAGUUAUAUAAUUAAACAGAACGUUGUAAAAUAUGCGGUGUUUUAUAUUUCUGUCUUUUUCUCUCCAAUGAUUCAUUUGUCUAAAAUAUUUCUUUCUGUAAAUUUUAAUUAAUUACUUAUAAAUGUUUUGUAAAAAAAUUUGAAAGUUUCGAUUAGACACAACCUGUGGUUUUAAAUUAAGCGGGUGGAAAAUUGAAAAUUUUUAUACUUAGUAUUAACGUUGGAGUUUAAUAGAUUAAAACGGCGACCCUCUCGAUUGUGUAAGUUUCAUUGAAUCAAUUAGUAAAUUGAUUAGUAUAAUUAUAGAAAUGAAAUUUUAUAUUAAAAAUUGUAUAGAAUUUGUUAGUUCGAAUUUUUCUAACCAAGACUAAUCGUCUCAUCGAAAUCAGGAUUUCUUUAUAGUUGCGGAAGGAGGUAAAGAAACAAUUAAAAAGAUAACUAUUAUGCGAAUGUAAAGAAGAUUUUCGGCCAUGGAACGAGGGAACGAUUGUAACAGUUUAUAAUAAAAAAGUAAUAGGAGGCGAAGUAAGAAGUUUGCGACGAAAACUGAAUAGACAACUGUAUAAGUAACAACAAUAAUAAUGACGAUGAUGAAGUUACAAAAGAAUUACUCAAUUAAUUAAAAAACAAAAAGAAGGAGCAUACAUACAUACAUAUAAAUACAUACAGAUAUAUAUAUACAUAUAUAUACAUACAUACAUACAUACAUACAUAUAUACAUAUGUAUUUAUAUGUAUGUAUGAAACAAUCUUGUAUUCUACGAUAAGUAAUUGUUUUUUAUAUGCGACAUAGUAUAUUAUAUUAUAUAAUACGCGAUACGUAUAUAUACAUGUGUAUGUAUUCGUACAUGCAAAAGGUAUAUAAACAUGUAUAUGUGUGUAAAUGAAACAAAAAGAAGAAAAAAAAAACGAAAGAAUUAAUAUCGUAUGAACUAAUAGUGUACGCGUGAGAUUUCAAGGAAAAAAUGUUUAUUAAUUCAUUUUGUAUGUGUGUGUAUAUGUAUAGGGCACACAUACAUAUCUCUGUAUGUAUCUCUGUAUUCGUGUCGUUCUAGAUACAUAUACGCAAGCAUAGCAACUGUUUGAAAUUUGAAUUCAUAAGGACGAAUGGACUCGAGUGCGUGUGAAAGAGAGGCUGAGAUUAGUUAAAACAAAUAAGAGAGAAAGAGCGAAUGCUUUGAGCGAAUUCGUUGAUUCCGUAUGACCGAUGGAAGAGGAAAAAAAACAAAAAAUACAAUUUGACGACUUUUAGUGUUAAACGUUUUCUGUACUAUAGGUAGAGAGCCAUGAGUAUCUUGCGAAUAAUACAGUAUGAUUUGGAGACAUUGUUCGUUGAA